rnacentral:rRNA from 1 species
CGCGAAACCUUUACACUGCACGACAGUGCGAUAGGGGAACUCCGAGUGCGAGGGCAUAGAGCCCUCGCUUUUCUGCACCGUAAGGUGGUGCAGGAACAAGUGCUGGGCAAGACCGGUGCCAGCCGCCGCGGUAAUACCGGCAGCACGAGUGAUGGCCGAUCUUAUUGGGCCUAAAGCGUCCGUAGCUGGCCGUGCAAGUCCGUCGGGAAAUCCAGUGGCUCAACCUCUGGGCUUCCGGCGGAAACUGCUCGGCUUGGGACCGGAAGACUCGAGGGGUACGUUCGGGGUAGGAGUGAAAUCCCGUAAUCCUGAACGGACCACCGAUGGCGAAAGCACCUCGAGAGCACGGAUCCGACAGUGAGGGACGAAAGCUAGGGUCUCGAACCGGAUUAGAUACCCGGGUAGUCCUAGCUGUUAACGAUGCCCGCUCGGUUCAGCGCAGGCUACGAGCCUGUGCCGCGCCUCAGUGAAGACGUAAGCGGGCCGCCUGGGAAGUACGUCCGCAAGGAUGAAACUUAAAGGAAUUGGCGGGGGAGCACUACAACCGGAGGAGCCUGCGGUUUAAUUG